ACCAUGAAGGUUUCUGAAUCAAAUAAAAGUUUGAAUUAUUGAUACUUUUAUCGUUUUUUACAAUGAGGGUUACGUUAGGCGACUUGGUAAUCUUUUUUUCUAUUUUUUUUGUUCGUGGUGGAGUUGGUGAUGUGAUUCGAGGGGUGUCGGGUGUGAUUCGGUUCUGUUUCUUGAGUCAUACUUUAUUGGGACGACGAAGAGUGAUCAACCAGAUAUGAGUGCAACUGAACUUUCUAAACGCUUAGCUGAGCUAGCCAGAUAUCAUUCAACGAGAGGUGGUGCAUUUCCUGAAACAGUGGUGUCUUGCUUGGUUAGGUAAAGUGAUUUGCUCACCAGAGAAAACGUCUGAACUUGGGAAAGGCCAUGAUAUUUUUUUUCAUAGCACUGACGAGAGAGUAAAGAGAAAGGUGAUGAUGACUUUGAUGAGUACGGCUGGGCUAACAUUGGCAGCUUUGAUGAGAUCUCCAUCGAAUGUUCAGGUAAAGCUUUGUUCAUAAGUACUAGCCUCUUUAUCUCAUUUGUGCCAGAUUAUUUGAAAAUUUUGUGAAGAAGCUGCUUCACUUGUAGAAUACUGACAAGAUAUUGGGUUUUGAUCAUUUUUCUAAGUGAGCUAUAGGUUUCUUAACAUCAAAGAUAAUUACUACUAAUGGUUAGUUCCAAGCACAUUUGUCUCUAUCUAACACAAUAUCCUCUCAAGUGAUGAUUUUGCAUUAGUGAUGUCCCUAUAUUUGGCGGUGGCAGAUGAGUUAUGGUCUUCUUCCAAAGAUGUAUUCAAUAGUCCAUCAAAAACAGUACCAUCAAUUUUGAACUCUGAAGAUCUAGGAUUUGAUAUUAGAACUGAGUUUGAGCAACAAGAGAACCAGCAAUUUCCACUGACUGGAAAAGCCAAUGGUCCCUCAUCUCAAAGUGUGCGUGUAACCCCAAAAUCUGAGCAGUUUCAUGAGCAUAAGGGUCAAGCCUCACUUGAGGACCACUUACUACGCACAGCAGACUGCUGCACGUUGCUCACACGUUUAUGAUAAAGUGAAUGAAAGAAACCAUAUCAACAAAACAAAAUGAUGAAGCUUUUGAAAUUGUUUGGGACUUCUGUGGCAGUAGCAUUUCAAGAUGCAAACGGUCAGAGGACACACUGUCCAUCACUUGGAAAAAAAAAAAGUAAAUUGGUUAGCACCGUCAGCGUGAGUCUCAAGGGUCUGGGACAUCACACCAUCUACAUAUGCCAAACCAGUACAUGGCUACUUCUGGUUUUGGUAAUCAUACAAAUCCAUAUU